rnacentral:rRNA from 1 species
AGAGUUUGAUCCUGGCUCAGAACGAACGCUGGCGGCGUGGAUAAGACAUGCAAGUCGAGCGCUGAUUAGAAGGUAGCAAUAUUUUCUGGUCGGAGCGGCGCAAGGGUGCGUAACACGUGGGUAAUCUGCCAUGAAGUUUGGGAUAACUCGCUGAAAGGCGAGCUAAUACCGGAUGUGAAAAUCGGGAGGCAUCUUCUGAUUUUCAAAGCUGGGGACCGUAAGGCCUGGCGCUUCUUGAUGAGCCCGCGGCCUAUCAGCUAGUUGGUGAGGUAACGGCUCACCAAGGCUAAGACGGGUAGCUGGUCUGAGAGGACGACCAGCCACACUGGAACUGAGACACGGUCCAGACACCUACGGGUGGCAGCAGUCGAGAAUUUUUCACAAUGGGCGCAAGCCUGAUGGAGCGACGCCGCGUGGGGGAUGAAUGGCUUCGGCCCGUAAACCCCUGUCAUUUGCGAGCAAUUCGCAUUGUUUAAGAGAUGAUGCGUUGAUAGUAGCGAAAGAGGAAGGGACGGCUAACUCUGUGCCAGCAGCCGCGGUAAUACAGAGGUCCCAAGCGUUGUUCGGAUUCACUGGGCGUAAAGGGUGCGUAGGUGGCUAGGUAAGUCGGAUGUGAAAUCUCGGAGCUCAACUCCGAAAUGGCAUUGGAAACUGCCUGGCUAGAGGAUUGGAGGGGGGACUGGAAUUCUCGGUGUAGCAGUGAAAUGCGUAGAUAUCGAGAGGAACACCAGUGGCGAAGGCGAGUCCCUGGACAACUCCUGACACUGAGGCACGAAAGCUAGGGGAGCAAACAGGAUUAGAUACCCUAGUAGUCC